AAGUCGUAACAAGGUUUCCGUAGGUGAACCUGCGGAAGGAUCAUUAACACGUAUCCAACGUUAAACCCCCCGUGAACCUUCAUUGUGCUCCCCCAUUCCGUUAGGACGCGGCAAUCCCUGGUAAAUCAUCGCCGAACAGUUUUGAUUCAGGGACCUCUGCAUGGAGUGGGCAGCAGCGCGAGGCAAGUGGCCUGGCAUUCGAAAGAAUGGCGCAGUAACGAUCGCUAGAGGCUCACUGGGCUCACGCCCCCCUAUCACCUUUGCAUGAAAACGGGCCUGCGCUUAAUUGUGCGGCCACCAAACUCGAACAACUGUUAACAAUGGAUAUCUUGGUUCUC
rnacentral:misc_RNA from 1 species